rnacentral:tRNA from 1 species
GAGGAUAUAGCUCAAGUGGUAGAGCGCAUGCUUAGCAUGCACGAGGUCCUGGGUUCAAUCCCCAGUACCUCCU